rnacentral:lncRNA from 1 species
ACGGGAACCUGGAGGCUUUCAAGCUAUUACUCAUCUUAAAACCUUCACUAGCCCUAAUGCUUCCGCCCCACGCUACGAAAUUCUCAUUCACAAAGGCCGCCAGAGCCUGGGAACACAACGUCCUUUCGCAGAACACGGGCGAAUCCGGGUGGUCCGGCGAGUGCAAGUACACAAACAACAGCUUGAAGGCGUUCCUCGACCUCUGCAACGCGUCCAUAAAACCCUCGCCGACAAAAUUCAGUCCUCUCGUUCCGUACUCCCUUUCAAACUCCGCCACGAAAUCCAUCGCUUCAGAAGCCGCAGCUGAGACCGAUACCAAUCCGGCCGAUGAUUCCCCGCCCUGCCCAGAGCCUAGCCCGAUCAUCCCAAGGGAAUACGAAAGAACUCCACCUGCGGCCCAUAGACCCAGCCCAACAGCGCCAGAGAUCAACCCUAAACUUCCGGAUAUCACGGAAAUCGGUAAUGUAACGAGUCUCCAGGCUAAGCCCGGUGCGGGAGCGGUAAUAGGACCGGAGGCGGAGGCGGAGGCGGAGGCGGAGGCCGAGGCCGAGGCGGAAACAGUCCGGGCCCGUGAAUCGGGAGGGUCGGAAUCAGAGACAGUGGAAGAAGCGGAGGGUUGAGUGGAAGAGGUGAAGGAAGAGAUGGCGAGUUCAAGGUCCCAACCAUGGGCCUGAAGGAUUUCGGUACACAAAUCGGGAUC